rnacentral:rRNA from 1 species
CCUACGGGUGGCAGCAGUGAGGAAUAUUGGUCAAUGGACGAGAGUCUGAACCAGCCAAGUAGCGUGAAGGAUGACUGCCCUAUGGGUUGUAAAUUUCUUUUAUAUGGGAAUAAAAUGUUCCACGUGUGGGAUUUUGUAUGUACCAUAUGAAUAAGGAUAGGCUAACUCCGGGCCAGCAGACGCGGUAAUACGGGGGAUCCGAGCGUUCUCCGGAUGUAUUGGGUUGAACGGGUUCGUAGGUGGUUUGUUAAGUCAGUUGUGAAAGUUUGCGGCUCAACCUUAGAAUUGCAGUGGAUACUGGCAGUCUUGAGUACAGUAGAGAUGGGCGGAAUUCGUGGUGUAGCGGUGAAAUGCUUAGAUAUCACGAAGAACUCCGAUUGCGAAGGCAGCUCACUGGACUGCAACUGACACUGAGGCUCGAAAGUGUGGGUAUCAAACAGGAUUAGAUACCCGUGUAGUC